UUAGAUUUAAUUCUAUUUAUUUUUAUUUAAAGGUUUAAUUAAAAUCCUCCUUUCCUUAAUUUAUUCAACACUAAUCUAGUGAGAACAAUACUGUUCUCGCACCGUUUUGACAUCAUGUGCCAGCUGCACGUCAUUGUCCUAAUUGACAGCUAUGGCUUAUAUGGCUGCUAACCGCGCCUUAGGUAGGAAAUGCUGUUGGACCCUGACGUGCAGACGUGUGAUCAAUCAACCAAACAUUGUAAAGAUCACGGUUGGUCAAGAGGGAACUGGCCAGGUAUAUUGCAGAUCCCCCUCAAGGCGUGGCUGAAGGGUCUAGGAUACAGCAAAGAUUGUCUGGCUUCAUGCUGACCAGACUGGCGAGCUAACCGCUUAACGGAUUGGGAUUGUCUGAGGAAACUCUUCCGAACUGGUUGGAGAUUCAGCCCAACAAGUCUCCACUGAAGGAAUUGGAUUAUUUUUGUUUUUUCUCCCUUUCAUCAUCAACAAAGACUGGUUGACUUCCUUGGUUUAAGGAACCCAUUUGGACUUUAAAAUUGUGGAUUAACUUGUGUAUAUAUUGUAAAUAAUAAUACAACUCACUAAUUUUG